UGCCCGGUGUCACCCACCGUCACUGCCCGGUGUCACCCACCUGGUGCCAUCCAGUGUCACCCACCCGGUGUCACCCACCCGGUGUCUCCCGGUGUCACUGCUCGGUGUCACCAUCCGGUGUCACCCACCCGGUGUCAUCCGGUGUCACUGCCCGGUGUCACCCACCCGGUGUCACUGCCCGGUGUCACCCACCCGGUGUCACCACCCGGUGUCACCACCCGGUGUCACUGCCCGGUGUCACCACCCGGUGUCACUGCCCGGUGUCACCGCCCUGCUGGCACCGGGGCCCCGAGCGAGGGGAUGGCGACAGCCGGGGGGGGUUGGGGGGUCCAGGGAAGGGAGAGGCCGCACAAAGGGGUCCCGUGGCCACCGGGGGUCCCCGAGCCGGGGGACGCAAAUCGGGGCUCGGGGACCCCCCAGACCCUGCCGGUGCCUUGGGGGGCUCCGAGGCUGGGGCGGGCAGGGGACACCCCCGGUGGCAGCGCUGUCCCCACCGGGAGGGGACUGGGAAGGGACUGGGGGGGUCGCGGAGCCCCAAAAGCCGCGGCCCCUCACCCCAAAAACCCCCGCGGACCCCCGGGGCCGGCACAGGCUGAAGGGGACAGGGCGGGGAGGGCUCGGCACUGGGACCAGUCAGAACCGGGAACUGGGACCAGUUACCUCCGGUCACUGGGACCAGCCAGAGCCGGGAACUGGGACCAGUUACCUCCGGUCACUGGGACCAGUCAGAGCCGGGAACUGGGACCAGUUACCUCCAGGCACUGGGACCAGUCAGAACCGGGAACUGGGACCAGUUACCUCCAGUUACUGGGACCAGCCAGAGCCAGGAACUGGGACCAGUUCAGGGCUGGACACUGGGACCAGUCAGAGCCGGGAACUGGGACCAGUUACCUCCAGGCACUGGGACCAGUCAGAGCCGGGAACUGGGACCAGUUACCUCCAGUUACUGGGACCAGCCAGAGCCAGGAACUGGGACCAGUUCAGGACCGGACACUGGGACCAGUUUAGGACUGGACCACCAGCUCCAAGCACUGGGACCAGUCCGAUCCGGUCACUGGGACCAGUUUAGGACUGGACACUGGGACCAGUCAGAGCCGGGAACUGGGACCAGUUCGGGACCGGACACUGGGACCAGUUACCUCUGAGCACUGGGACCAGUUACCUCCGGUCACUGCCCCAGUUUCCCCAGUAUGCAGCACCAGUCCCAGUGCCCAGGACUGACUGGUCCCAGUCCC
rnacentral:lncRNA from 1 species